rnacentral:lncRNA from 1 species
CCUACCCUCCCUCCCUCCCUCCCUUGGAGAGAGCAAGCCAAAAAGCCCUACCCUCCCUCCCUCCCUCCCUCCCUCCCUCCCUUGGAGAGAGCAAGCAAAAAAGCCCUACCCUCCCUCCCUUCCUCCCUUGGAGAGAGCAAGCCAAGAAGCCCUACCAAAAGGUCAAGAAAGGUGGAGGGGUUGAGGAAGGAAGAGAGGACAAGGUUCUCGAGAUAUCAGACUGACCGAAUGAAGUGCUCACAACUCAACUAAACUUUGGGAUAGUUUUAAAGAAGGAUAUCAGACCUGCAAGGGAAUUGAACCGUCGACAGGCCGACCAGAAGCACCAUGACCAGUGUUAACUCCCCCGCCUGCCUCCUGGCUCGUAACCAGUUCUAUAGAAGUAAAGAUAAACCCUAUUUUUAAACAUUGACUUUGUCUCGUUCAUUAUUGAACUUGGACAGACAACUGGUUUAGUCUGGGUGUUGGUGUUUGUUUGUUUGAUAGAGGAUAUGAAGAGUGACCUGAGGACACGUGUUAACUUAAUGGAGAAUUACUGUCAAACUCUGCACUUUACCUUUUGAACCAUCGUGACAAAUACUUAAGUCUUUUAUACACUCUGGUUUAUGUUUGAUGAACAUUUGGUUGACUGAACUUUGACCUCACUAUCAACUCCUGGUCUAAAGAAUUACAUGACUCGUUUAUAUUGACUGUAGUCUAGUUUCCUCUGCUAUUUAUAAACAGAGGACAAACUCCAAAAAACGUAACAUUUCAGAGUUGGAUUCAACCUUUAGUUUAACCAGGUUGUCCCAUUGUGGUCCAAAUAACUCAUUUUCAAGGAAGACCUGGCCAAGAAGGCAGCUCAAGUAAAAACCAAAGAAGACAUUGGUCUUCAUCUGUCAUUGAUCAUUUGAUUACGUACACAA